GAUCAUUACGAGUUUACACUCCCAACCCCUGUGAACAUACCAAUUGUUGCCUCGGCGGAUCAGCCCGCUCCCGGUAAAACGGGACGGCCCGCCAGAGGACCCCUAAACUCUGUUUCUAUAUGUAACUUCUGAGUAAAACCAUAAAUAAAUCAAAACUUUCAACAACGGAUCUCUUGGUUCUGGCAUCGAUGAAGAACGCAGCAAAAUGCGAUAAGUAAUGUGAAUUGCAGAAUUCAGUGAAUCAUCGAAUCUUUGAACGCACAUUGCGCCCGCCAGUAUUCUGGCGGGCAUGCCUGUUCGAGCGUCAUUUCAACCCUCAAGCCCUCGGGUUUGGUGUUGGGGAUCGGCGAGCCCUUGCGGCAAGCCGGCCCCGAAAUCUAGUGGCGGUCUCGCUGCAGCUUCCAUUGCGUAGUAGUAAAACCCUCGCAACUGGUACGCGGCGCGGCCAAGCCGUUAAACCCCCAACUUCUGAAUGUUGACCUCGGAUCAGGUAGGAAUACCCGCUGAACUUAAGCAUAUCAAUAAGCGGAGGAAAAGAAACCAACAGGGAUUGCCCUAGUAACGGCGAGUGAAGCGGCAACAGCUCAAAUUUGAAAUCUGGCUCUCGGGCCCGAGUUGUAAUUUGUAGAGGAUACUUUUGAUGCGGUGCCUUCCGAGUUCCCUGGAACGGGACGCCAUAGAGGGUGAGAGCCCCGUCUGGUUGGAUGCCAAAUCUCUGUAAAGUUCCUUCGACGAGUCGAGUAGUUUGGGAAUGCUGCUCUAAAUGGGAGGUAUAUGUCUUCUAAAGCUAAAUACCGGCCAGAGACCGAUAGCGCACAAGUAGAGUGAUCGAAAGAUGAAAAGCACUUUGAAAAGAGAGUUAAAAAGUACGUGAAAUUGUUGAAAGGGAAGCGUUUAUGACCAGACUUGGGCUUGGUUAAUCAUCUGGGGUUCUCCCCAGUGCACUUUUCCAGUCCAGGCCAGCAUCAGUUUUCCCCGGGGGAUAAAGACUUCGGGAAUGUGGCUCUCUUCGGGGAGUGUUAUAGCCCGUUGUGUAAUACCCUGGGGGGGACUGAGGUUCGC
rnacentral:rRNA from 1 species